rnacentral:rRNA from 1 species
GUGGGGAAUUUUGGACAAUGGGGGCAACCCUGAUCCAGCCAUGCCGCGUGCGGGAAGAAGGCCUUCGGGUUGUAAACCGCUUUUGUCAGGGAAGAAAUCCUUUGGGUUAAUACCUCGGAGGGAUGACGGUACCUGAAGAAUAAGCACCGGCUAACUACGUGCCAGCAGCCGCGGUAAUACGUAGGGUGCGAGCGUUAAUCGGAAUUACUGGGCGUAAAGCGUGCGCAGGCGGUUUUGUAAGAUCGAUGUGAAAUCCCCGGGCUCAACCUGGGAACUGCAUUGGUGACUGCAAGGCUGGAGUGCGGCAGAGGGGGAUGGAAUUCCGCGUGUAGCAGUGAAAUGCGUAGAUAUGCGGAGGAACACCGAUGGCGAAGGCAAUCCCCUGGGCCUACACUGACGCUCAUGCACGAAAGCGUGGGGAGCAAACAGGAUUAGAAACCCUGGUAGUCC